UACAGAGGGGGCAAGCGUUGUUCGGAAUUACUGGGCGUAAAGGGCGCGUAGGCGGCCUGCUAAGUCGAACGUGAAAUCCCUGGGCUCAACCCAGGAACUGCGCUCCAUACUGCAUGGCUUGAGGGAGACAGGGGUAAGCGGAACUGAUGGUGGAGCGGUGAAAUGCGUUGAUAUCAUCAGGAACACCGGUGGCGAAAGCGGCUUACUGGGUCUCUUCUGACGCUGAGGUACGAAAGCUAGGGGAGCGAACGGG
rnacentral:rRNA from 1 species